rnacentral:lncRNA from 1 species
GGGUGGUGCAAAAGCUGCUCUUUCAGCUUUCUUCCAGGGUUAUUCCUUUUCCUCCUUGCGUCUGUCCUUUUCUUCAUUGUUCUCCAUCGUUUCUUCUUCAUCUUCCACAAUCCCAUCCCCUUGGUAUUUGUCAUGUGUCCACUUCGGACUGCUACCUGACUUUUUGAAGUUAAAACGCCCUCUGCCACGCUGGAAAGUACCACGGCCCCUUCCUCGUUUGGCCCAAUAAUCCACACCAUCAUCUCUGUCAUCGUGCAAGAAAUAUUUCUUGCUUUUUGGGGUAUAUUCAGGAUCCCACUCCUCUUCCUUCGGUCUCUUUUGAAAAGUAGUAUUUGAGUUGCUGGGACCAGUAUUUGUUCCAGCAAAGACUCCUCUGGCUCUUCCUCUGCCCCUAAUUCGAAAAAAGGUGCCUCUUGGCCUGCUGACUCCUGCAAAACCAGAGUAUUCUUUCUGUUCGUGGUGAGUUUUGAACUCUUCAUCUCUUUCUUUCUUGCAAUCCUUUUCUUCUCGAGAACUGGAUGAAGAAGAAGAUGGAGAGGAAGAUGGGGAAGAUCUAGCACGGUCUUGCUCUCUUUUUUGCUUACUGUCAUCUUUGUAAGAUUUGUAAUCCUUGUAAUCUUUUGAAGUUUUCUCCUGCUUUCUUGACCCACUGGAUUCCCUGGAGCCCUUUGAGUCUCCUCGCUCUUUACUUCGCUCUUUUCUACGGCGGUCAAUGUCAUGCCGAAGAUCAGCAGAAUCACAUCUUAAUUUUUUAUCUCCUUUUUGACUUUCUUCUUUAAAGACCCUCUCUUCACCUGCUAAACGGGUAUGCUUCCUCAGGGCACUUGGAGAGAUGUCAAUCCUCCUAUGUAUUUCUGGGCUCUUUUGCCGAGUGCAGUGCUCUUCUGUUGCUUUUUGAUAUGCAGUGAACCUCUCAUUUAGGGUCAUUCCAGCUGACUUGAAGUAUUGCUCUUUGACAUGAUGAACCAAGGACACUAUAUGCUGAAUAAAUGACUCUGACGUGCUUUUGCUG